CGGGAACCAAUCAAGUUCUGCCCAGUGUUCAAAUUUAAAUGUCAACCAAUAACAGCUCUGUAACCGCGAAAAAUCCCUAACUUGUUUGUGCCUGUCUAUAAAAGAAGCUGUAAGAUCCUCCCUCGGGACCUCUUAGCGUCACCGGUAACGAGUGCGCGGAGGACCGGGUUCGAACCUGCAAUAAACGACCCUUGCCACUUGGCUUUGACUCUGGACUCUGGUGGUUUGUUUUCGGGGGUCUCUCGAGUCGGGGCAUAUCAGAUUCACCUUACGUCUCCUGCUCUGCUCAGUGCCUAGAACGUGACGGUUUAGUCCCUUUCCUUUGAAUUCCUGGCUAGAUUAUAAAAUCCUGGAGGACAGAGAAUUGCCUUACUUUAUAUCCUGUUCAGUGUCUGGCAGUAAUUAAGUACCUUGCAGACACUUACUGAGUACUUGUUUGAAUGAAUGUAUCAGCUGGGGGCCAUGAGGAAUGCCUAAUGGGCUCUCUAUUGAGUGUUCUCAGCAACCACAGGGACUCUUCAUAUGUAUUAGAACAAAUGCAUCCCAAGGGAAACACCUAUUGAUUGAAGAGAUACGGACAGGGUUAAAGAAACCAACAAAGGAUGAUAAAGCACCCGGGAACCAGCAACAACGGGAAGCUCUAACCAUUCUAAAAUUGAUGGGCAAGUAAAAAGAACUGCGCUACUAGAAGGAAAUGAGAACUAGGGCCACGGGAAAACUACCACUGACUGGAUGGGAGCUGUGGCCCUGGAGGAAAGCCACCAUUGCUAAAACAGACUCAAGAUAUAAAAGAAGCAAGGGAGUAAUAAAUACCCUCAUCUGUCUCUUUCUACUCUGUGAUCUCCUGCCAGUGCUCCCACUGACCAGUCCCAACCAGUGGCCAGGGGUGAGGAACCCUGGAGGAAGCAGUCUACAAAGGUACCGAUGAAGACAUUUGAAAGACAAAGCCAUAAUUCAAGAUUUCUGGGUACUGUCUUAGAGAGAGGUCCAUUCCUAAUACAGAUGCUGGGUGCCAGCCCAAGAAGCUAUUUGUCCCUCACAAUGCUUUGCAGGAUUAAAUGAGGUGCUGGGACAGCUUCCCAUCUCUGAAAGGAUAAGACUGCAAAGUGGCUAGCGUUGGAACUGAAUUGUUACACUGAUAACACAUUUCCAGAAACAUAUAAAAAGUGACUCCAAAGACAAAUAAAAAUGACUGAUGACAUUUACAACUUCAAGUAU